UUUCAUUCAUGAAGUGGUUCACCAUCUCCAUUUGUUAAAUUUUGAAAUAUGAAGACCUCUGCUGAAACCUGCAUCUUUUUCAUAAUCUACUGUCAAGAUAACAGCUUAAGACUGAAUUCACAGCUAUCCAUUAUUUAUUUAUUUGAUUUAUACCCCGCCUAUCUGGACCACCGGACCCCUCUUCAAAGAGAAUGGAAAGACUCCCCUCAUGUGUGGUCCUGUAUGACAUCACAAGCCCUCAGGACUGGUGCUGCGGCCUUCUUCCACAGCUCGGCUAAUCCUGCGUUCAUCCUGACUCAGGUUAAAUCCUAGACUGGGAUUCCUUGCUAGGUUUUGGGCCCUCCCUGUACCAUUUGCUCACUGUCCCCAGCCUUUGCAACCUUCCAAUUUGAUAAAGGGGGGGGGAAUAGCAACUUCGUUCCCUGGGGCACAGCUGCAA
rnacentral:lncRNA from 1 species